rnacentral:rRNA from 1 species
UGCGUAGGCGGCAUGGCAAGUCAGAUGUGAAAUCCCGGGGCUCAACCCCGGAACUGCAUCCGAUACUGCCGUGCUUGAGGACCGGAGAGGAGACUGGAAUUCUCGGUGUAGCAGUGAAAUGCGUAGAGAUCGAGAGGAACACUCGUGGCGAAGGCGAGUCUCUGGACGGUUCCUGACGCUGAGGCACGAAGGCCGGGGGAGCGAAAG